GGAGUGUGGCUCAAUGGUAGAGCGCUGGGCUGGCAGACCUGAGGCACUGGGUUCAGUCCCCAGGACCA
rnacentral:tRNA from 1 species